rnacentral:misc_RNA from 1 species
UGGUUUCAUUACCACGAGG